rnacentral:tRNA from 1 species
AUAAGAAAUAAAUAAAUUAAUUUGAAAUUAAUUAGAUAAUUCAAUUUCUAAUAUUUUUAUG